UGUAAGUCGCUCUGGAUAAGAGCGUCUGCUAAAUGACUAAAAUGUAAAAAUGUAACUCUGGUUAUUAAUACCCAUGGGGUUAUUUUACAACACCGAGUGUUACAUUUAUUUAACUGCUGAAUCAACACUAGAAAUGUUACACUGAAAGAAAUAUCACUAGGUACAACUGGCCAAUUUGCAGUGUACCAUACCAUACACUGCUGAUUCACUCAUACUCUAUUCUCUUACUCUCUGCUCAAUAAAAUCACAGAAAAUACUAAAUGUAAAGACAGAAAUCAUGACAAAGAUAUAAACUAUGUCAGUACUGUAUAUGUAAAAUGAUUAAGGGUAUACCAGAUACAUGCACAAAUAUUCCCAGGUACAGUUUAAGACAUUCUCAGACCUAUCAUUUUAAACUUAUCAGAUUACUCAAACUCCUGAUGUUAAAGUUUAAACAGUGAGGUGAACACUAAUGCUCAGGCCCUAUUUAAAAGAAAGUGAAAACAAUUACAAUAAAAACACUACCGGUAUUUAGAUUCAGAAGGGUUCUAUGUAGAAUAUUGCCUUCCAAAGAAUCCCUCUUGCCUUCCAAAGAAUCAUCACAGAACCUUUUCUCCCCAAAAAGGUUUUUUCAGAUAAAAAUAGUUAUUGGUAGAACCCUAUCCAUCUGCAAAGAACCCAUUUUUUCUAUGUGUAAGAGUGUACAUGGCAGUCAUACACACUGAAAGUCAAGGGUAUGAAAUCAAUAGAUGAAGAAUAGCAAGGAUGAUAAUAAUGUAUGUUUUCACAACUUCAAUUCAGUGGCCUUUUUGAUUUCUUGUUGUUGUUCACAAAAGUGGAUCAUACUGAGAAGCAUAGGCCUACAGAUGUUGGAUCUUUAAUUUAAGCCAGUUUGCUACAGCAGGAAAAUAAUCCUGCAGCAACAGGAAAUGUGAAUUAUUAUAUGGAUUAUAAUUAAUAGACAUGUUUGUAGGGAUUUAUACAUUUUUCGCAAGGGAAAAUCAUGUCUGAAAUUUCAAAGUGGAAAUUACAAACUUCAGAAGCCAUUUUAAACCUCAAAUACACUACAAGUUUUACAUUUCCUGUAUUGCAGUAAAGUUCUCCUGCAACCGGGUGAUCAAAUUAAGAUCCCACAUGUGUACCUCCCACAAUGGCAAUGACUUAAGUACACAAUGGCCAGUGUGAGUGUAAACUUUGUACACCCAUGUGUGAACCUCCUGCGCAUGUAUAAAGAGCAGUGUGCAGCGUGGAACAGGACAGCCGAUAAUGUUGGGCUCGUUUGUUCUACUAUGGAUAGGCAUCUGCUUCCUCUUUUUCAUCCUGAAGAUUAAUCGAACCACAAACUUUCCUCCUGGUCCAAAACCCAUUCAGAUAUUUGGGAAUCUGCUGCAUCUGAGCUUGAGGAAUCCUUUGAAAGACCUGGAGAAGGUGCAGUUAUUAUACCUCAAAUAGCAUAACAACUCAUGAAAGAAUCAGCAGUGUCAGUGUAACUAUCAGUUACAUUAUUUGUUUCAAACAUUGUCAUUCCUUCAUCAAAGGGUGAUGUUAUCUUGUAUCACUUGUAAUCACAGUGUUACUGUGUUGUAUGCAAUGUGUCCUCAUGUGCUAUUUCCCAACUAGUUGGCAGAGCGCUAUGGGAAGGUUUUCAGUCUUUAUAUUGGUGGAAGGCCAGCUGUGAUUCUCAAUGGGCUUGAAGCUAUGAAGGAGGCCCUGGUUACCAAGGCUUUGGACUUUGCAAGAAGACCCCAAAACCUUAUGCUCAACCACUACACAAGGAAAAAGAAAUAACAACAAAAACUAUACUAUUGUUAGAAUCAACCAGAAACACAUUUAAUCAUUUAGAAAUUAUUCAUUUUUUAUGUACUGUGCAGAGCUCCUGAAACUACCCGCUGAUUAUAGUUUUAUUUUCUUCAAAAUCAUAUAAUGUAAGCUGCUCGUCAGAUUUUUAAAACCCCUCCCCAGGUUUCAUUAUUUCGAAAUACAGCUCAUGCUGGAGAGUGCAACGUCUCGUCGCCCUAAUGACCCUGAGAAACUUUGGUCUGGGAAGCAGUCUAUGGAGGAGAGGAUUCUGGAGGAGACAUCAUACAUCAUUGCACCCUUGGAGAAAAGUGUUGGGAAAACCAUGGACACUCAGACUAUCUUCCAUAAAUCUUCAUUCAAUAUCCUUUAUCUUGUACUAUUUGGGUCCCGCUAUGAAUAUGACGACAAGUUUCUUGAGUCUUCAUUCGUAUCUUCACUGAGAAUGCGAAGAUCACUAAUGGACCCUGGGCAUUGGUAUUAUACCAUUUUAAUAGGUUUAUCACUUAAUGUUAGUCAGACCUUGACUUAAAGGGAUACUUCACCCAAAUUACAAAAUUACAUAAUGGUUUCCUUACCCUGUAAUUAGUCUAUGGACAAGGUAAGUGAUAGAUGAAUUUGUAUGUUUAUGGUAAUGACUAAAAUUGUUCCACCCCGAUACAGUAUGACUGUGUAAACUGUGUUAAGGUAGUAAUAAACCCGCUAACAGAGAAGGGGGUUAGAAACUGCUGAGACAGACAUUCCAGGAGAAAGGAGACUUAGAAACUGUCCUAUUUAAAUAUUCUAUACUGUGGAAAUGUACAGGCCGCCUAAAGGUGGGCGGAGCAAAGUCCUUUGUGUGGACGUAUAUAAAAAGGCUGUGUGUGUUUUUGGCGCCAGAGCGCUCUCAUUGAAUAAAAAUGGCUGAUCCCUUGCA